GAUGAACGCUGGCGGCGUGCUUAACACAUGCAAGUCGAACGGAAAGGCUCCUGCUUUCCGGGUUACUCGAGUGGCGAACGGGUGUGUAACACGUGUGUGAUCUGCCCUUCACUUCGUGAUAAGCCUUGGAAACUGGGGCGAAUACCGGAUAUAACCUCAUUUUGGGUGGGGUUGUGUAAAGUUUUUCGGUUUUGGCUUAGCUCGAGGGCUAUCACCUUGUUGGUGGGGUAAUGGCCUACCAAGGCGUCGACGGGUAGCCGGCAUGAGAGCGUAUACGGGCUCCAUAGGCCUGAGGGACGGACCAGAAUGCUAUGGGAGGCAGUAGUGGGAAGCAUGGCGGAACGGGGGCAAGUCUGAUGUAGCGACGUCGGGUGGGGGAUGACGGGCUUCGGGUUGUAAACUAAUUUCGAUAGGGAUGAAGAGGAAGUGACGGUACCUGGAGAAGAAGCACCGGCUAACUACGUG
rnacentral:rRNA from 1 species